rnacentral:rRNA from 1 species
UAGGGAAUAUUGGACAAUGGGCGCAAGCCUGAUCCAGCUAUGCCGCGUGUGUGAAGAAGGCCUUCGGGUUGUAAAGCACCUUGGUCCGGUAAGAUCCGCGCUGGGUUAAUACCCUGGUGUCCUGACGGUACCGGAAGAAUAAGCACCGGCUAACUUCGUGCCAGCAGCCGCGGUAAU